UUGGAGGGCAAGUCUGGUGCCAGCAGCCGCGGUAACUCCAGCUCCAAUAGCGUAUAUUAAAGUUGUUGCAGUUAAAAAGCUCGUAGUUGAAUUUCGGGGUCAGCAGGUUGGUCGUGCCAAUGGUAUGCACUGGCCUUGCUGAUUCCUCCCUCUUGAUGAGCCGUAAUGUCAUUAAUUUGGUGUUGCGGGGAAUCAGGACUGUUACUUUGAAAAAAUUAGAGUGUUUAAAGCAGGCAAGCGCUUGAAUACAUUAGCAUGGAAUAAUGAAAUAGGACGUUUGAUCCUAUUUUGUUGGUUUCUAGGAUUGACGUAAUGAUUAAUAGGGAUAGUUGGGGGCAUUAGUAUUCAAUUGUCAGAGGUGAAAUUCUUGGAUUUAUUGAAGACUAACUACUGCGAAAGCAUUUGCCAAGGAUGUUUUCAUUAAUCAAGAACGAAAGUUAGGGGAUCGAAGACGAUCAGAUACCGUCGUAGUCUUAACCAUAAACUAUGCCGACUAGGGAUCGGAUGAUGUUAAUUUUUUAAUGACUCAUUCGGCGCCUUACGGGAAAC
rnacentral:rRNA from 1 species